rnacentral:tmRNA from 1 species
GGGGAUGUGUGGUUUCGACAGGGCUCGGAAGACGGAGAACGCGAGCCGAGGAUGCUGCUCAGGCCUCGUUAAUCAGGCAGCAAAACGAAGUACCUGGCAACCGCCAGUCGACUCUCACACUCGCUGCGUAAGCAGCUAGUGUGAGCGUGGAAGCCACCUCGGUCCCGCGGGUGGUGGAAGCGUCAUUUAGCGGGGCUGCAGCCCGGGCCAGUGUUGCGUAACCCGGGAUCAAGCUCGAUCUAGAGACACGUGACUGGACCGACCGGAACCCUGCCGAUGGGGGUUUGGGCGGUUGACGACAAAGCAUCGGACACGCUCGUAGUGGUCUCCGCCGAAGGGUUCUGGACGGGGAGUUCGACUCUCCCCCAUCUCCACCA